rnacentral:rRNA from 1 species
UACGUAGGGUGCGAGCGUUGGCCGGAAUUAUUGGGCGUAAAGGGCUCGUAGGCGGUCUGUUGCGUCGGGAGUGAAAACUCAGGGCUUAACCCUGAGCCUGCUUCCGAUACGGGCAGACUAGAGGUAUGCAGGGGAGAACGGAAUUCCUGGUGUAGCGGUGAAAUGCGCAGAUAUCAGGAGGAACACCGGUGGCGAAGGCGGUUCUCUGGGCAUUACCUGACGCUGAGGAGCGAAAGUGUGGGGAGCGAACAGG